CGGGCACACGGAGUGCGAAAGAACCAGGAAGUGAGGCACAGCUGUUGGACCGUGGGAGCCAUGUCCUGGUGCUGAUAAUGGAAACACUGCGCGCUGGAGCGGCCAAAUGUAGAGGGAGAUUAGCGGGAGACUGUGGUGUGUAACUUGUGGAGCGGCCAGCGUUAGAGAGAGAGAGAGGAGGAUUUCUCCUCAAGUCUGACCUGUGUCUGGAGUUAUGUGCAGGAGCAGCGUUGGCUGCAGAGUGACAGAUAGGUGGAUAUGUGAGACAGCAGCUGUGGUGGAGAGAGGGAGCGCAGCCUGUGAUGGAUGCACAGACCCGUGUUAUUCCCGCUGCUCCGGCUGACCUGCAGCUGUACCCGGCUCCGACCCGCUCCGCUCCGCCCCUCCCAGCUGAAUCACGGAGGGAGUGAUUUCAGAAAGCUUCCGGAUCUGCGCCAUCAGGAUUCAGCUGCGUCAAGUGAAACAUUACACCCGGAAGUACGCUGAUUUUUCAUCAAAAUAAAAGC
rnacentral:lncRNA from 1 species